rnacentral:lncRNA from 1 species
UCAACAUAAUUUCGCAAGUUUAUUAACUUAAGAAUUCCAAUUACAAAUUGAGCUUGGUUCAAAAUUAAUUCCAACUGGGAUGUGCACUCACAAUUGAUAGAAAAAAUACAAAAAAACCUUCUCGAAAGAUUCGAGCUUCCCUGAUGACCUCGGCUGACUUCAAUUCGCUUAGAACCCUAGUAUCAAGAGUGUUGCAAAGAUGCUCGGAGUUGCCACAGUCGUACUUCUAUGAUCGUGCGGGAGUAGCCGAUGCCUUGAAUUACGUAAGUUCUAAAGUAUGAUUAUGCUUCCUAAAUCCAAGCUGGCACUUAAGGCUCACUCUAAUCACAAUUACACUCUAGCCAUCUAAUUUAUUAUCAGAAAGCACCAGCAGCCUGCUUCGAUUAAUUUUCCUUGCAAUAUCCAGAGAUACUGACUCAGCAAGAAAUUUCUUCUACAAAAUAAUUGGGACACAACAUAGCCUGUUGAUCUAACAGAAUUUCUGUUCUCCGCACACGAUGUUGCAUCGCUUUGAGCCUUGAAAAGCUGUAAGUCCAAUCUUCUGAUGCAUACUCAUUACGAUGCUUCACAGUUUAAAUUCAUAGGCGUGGUCAUGUUGAAUACUGAAGUUGUUCAAAUCGACUGUUAGCCCAUAAAUCAUGAAGAUACUUUAGGAGCUCUUGGACUCACCAAAAUGCCCGUCAAUUGCUUCAUUAUUAAACACAAGGAUCUGCGAACUUUAUUAACCUUGUUGAGAACUUUGUUGUUAACUUGCACGCAUUAGAGCGAGAAGGAGCAAAACUCAGACCACCUCUGCUGCACACCACUAUCCCAGCAUCCAAUCGUCAACCGAGAUUUAUAUGCUUCGGCUUUUUCUGGGCUUGG